AUGACUGACCAAACUGUCAAUAGUGCAGCCGGCGGCAAUGGGCCUGAGCCUGAGCAGUAUGAUCCAUCCAAGGAUCCUAAGCGGAAGGCAAAGUCGGGAGACCCUGGGUGGAAGUAUGGGUAUUGGCAUGAUAUGAACAGGAGGGAUAGGAUACGAUGCACUUUUUGCGGGACAGAUGUGCAUGCUGGAAUAGCAAGGUUCAAGCGUCACCUAGCUGGGGCUAGUACUAAAGGGAAGAAGAAUUCUAUAAAAUGCAAGAAGGUGCCAGAGGCUGUUUCAAAGAAGAUGCUGGAUUUCAUGAAGGCCUACGCAAAGAAGCAUAAUAUGCCAGGGGAGUCUGAUAAAGAAGAUACAGCAACUGGUGAUGAAGAAGAGGAUGCAACAGCAACUCAAACUAGUAGUAGGACAACAGCAAAAAGGAAGGCCAAGACUGUCCAAACUGAAUUACAUACACAAAAGGCUUCAAGAACAAUUGCCGGGAUGAUUAGGAAGACUCCGGAAGAAGUCAUUGAGCUAAGGCACUCGAAGAAUCCUUCUCAAGCCGCAUUGAACGCAGGUUGCUUCAAAAGGACCACCGAGGAUAAGGAUAGAGUUGAUGAUCAUUGGGCAGCAUUUUCCUAUGCCAAUGCCAUUCCCUUCAAUGUUACCCGAUCAAGAGCCUUUGAGAUUGCAUUGGAGUCCACCGGGCAAUAUGGUCCAGGCUACAUCCCCCCAACUAUUCAUGCUCUUAGGCUUCCACUUCUUGUGAAAGCAAAGAAGAAGACACAUGCAUUGAGAGAGCAACAUGAGCUGGCUUGGCAAGAGUAUGGCUGCACACUAAUGUCCGAUGGGUGGACCGAUGGGAGGACUAGGCACUUGGUCAACUUCCUUGUCAAUAGUCCAGCCGGGACUUUCUUCAUUGAUAGCGUUGACAUACCAGCCUUAGUAGCCAGCAAAGAAUUGUUGGCAGAUUUGAUGGAGAAAAGGAUCAACGACAUUGGAAGAGGCUACGUGGUUCAGAUUUGCACGGAUAAUGGUGCUAACUACAAGGCAGCGGGUAGACUCUUAACAGAGAGGAUUCCUACAUUAUGGUGGACCCCUUGUGCAGCCCAUUGUUUGAACCUUAUGUUGGAGGCCAUUUGCAAAAUCAAGCAAUUCAGCGAGUGUAUUACAAAUGGAAAAAGGGUGUCUACAUUCAUCUACAGGCAUGGCAAGGUUUUAGAUGAAAUGAGAGUGAAGACCGACAACCGUGAUCUUGUGAGGGCUGGAGCUACUCGCUUUGCCACAAAUUUUCUCAACUUGCAAAGCUUGCACAAACAUAGGCAAGCUCUCAAAGAAUUGUUUGUGGGUGAUGUUUGGCAUAGCAAUAAGAAGUUGUCAACCUCACCGGUGGGACAAAAAGUUCAAGAAGAUGUGUUGUCCAUUAGUUUUUGGAACUCAGUAGAGACUUGCAUGAAAGUUUCUCUACCUCUUCUAAGGGUGCUAAGGAUUGUUGAUGGCGAUGAGAAGCCGGCGAUGCCCGAGGUUAUGGCAGCAAUGGAUUAUGCAAAGGAGAGAAUCAAGGCUGCGAUAGAUGACAAACCAACGUUGGUUAAGAAGGUGACAAAAAUAGUAGAGGACAAGUGGGAAUCUCAAAUGGGGGUGAAGUUGUAUGGAGCUGCACUAUUCUUAAACCCAAAUAGGAUCUAUGGUCUCAAAGCUAAGCCCGAGAAAGCACGAUAUUGUCAAAGGCUUAGGCAUAUGUUCAAUGAGGUGCUAUUGCACAUGGAGCCCGAUGAUGAUAAAGCAAGCGUGAUAAGUAGAUUGGCUGAUGACUAUGAAAGAGGUGAAGGUGAAUGCUUCAGCUCUAAGUUGGCAAUCAAUGACCGAACAAAAAAGAGUCCUCUUCUUUGGUGGGGUGCUUAUGGUGGCCUUGCUUAUGAGCUGCAACAUUUAGCAAAGCACAUAGUUAGCCUUUGUGCUUCAGCUUCCGGUUGCGAACGAAAUUGGUCUUGCUUUCAAAAUAUCCAUAGCAAAAAGAGAAAUAGGUUGGAGUUCCAAAGACUUAAUGAUUUGUCAUAUGUUCAAUACAACCGGAAGAAUGCCGAUAGGUUCCAAAAGAUUCGUGAGGAAGGCUCCAAAGGGACUAGGUCUGACCCAUUAGUCCUAGAAGACAUUAGUCCUAGAAGACUUACAAUGGGACAAUGA
rnacentral:rRNA from 1 species